UACGGAGGAUGCGAGCGUUAUCCGGAUUUAUUGGGUUUAAAGGGUGCGUAGGCGGAUUUUUAAGUCAGCGGUAAAAUGUCCGGGCUCAACCCGGGCCGGCCGUUGAAACUGGGGAUCUUGAGUGGGCGAGAAGUAUGCGGAAUGCGUGGUGUAGCGGUGAAAUGCAUAGAUAUCACGAAGAACUCCGAUUGCGAAGGCAGCUUACCAGUCUGCGACUGACGCUCAGGCACGAAAGUGUGGGUAUCGAACAGG
rnacentral:rRNA from 1 species